UACGUAGGUGACAAGCGUUAUCCGGAAUUACUGGGCGUAAAGCGCACGCAGGCGGUGGGGUAAGUCUGAUGUGAAAUCUCCUGGCUUAACUGGGAGGGGUCAUUGGAAACUGCCGUACUUGAGGCGAUGAGAGGGGUGUAGAAUUCCUGGUGUAGCGGUGAAAUGCGCAGAUAUCAGGAGGAACACCGGUGGCGAAGGCGGGUCUCUGGGCCGAUACUGACGCUGAGGAGCGAAAGCAUGGGGAGCGAACAGG
rnacentral:rRNA from 1 species